UUACAAAGAUGGAAAGGCUGCAUGGAGCCCGGGGCCAGCGGGAAGUCCGCUGACCCUGGGCUCCAUGCGGGCGCUUCCGCUUUGAAA
rnacentral:pre_miRNA from 1 species